rnacentral:rRNA from 1 species
CCCGUACAAAUUCUUUGAAUUUGUAUUAGCUAGCUAUCAUGCUUCCAAGAAAAGCUUGAACUACUGUAAAGUAUAAAAUACCUGUACCGUAAACCGACACAGGUAGGUUGGUAGAGUAUACCAAGGGGCGCGAGAUAACUCUCUCUAAGGAACUCGGCAAAAUGACCCCGUAACUUCGGGAGAAGGGGUGCCCUCUUUUAAGGAGGGCCGCAGUGACCAGGCCCAGGCGACUGUUUAUCAAAAACACAGGUCUCCGCAAAGUCGUAAGACAACAUAUGGGGGCUGACGCCUGCCCAGUGCCGGAAGGUUAAGGAAGUUGGUUAGGUUCGCCGAAGCUAACGACCGAAGCCCCGGUGAACGGCGGCCGUAACGAUAGCGGUCCUAAGGUAGCGAAAUUCCUUGUCGGGUAAGUUCCGACCCGCACGAAAGGCGUAACGAUCUGGGCGCUGUCUCGGAGAGAGACUCGGUGAAAUAGACAUGUCUGUGAAGAUGCGGACUACCUGCACCUGGACAGAAAGACCCUAUGAAGCUUGACUGUAGCUUGGAAUUGGGUUCGGGCUCUUCUUGCGCAGCCUAGGUGGGAGGCUAUGAAGGUAAACUUUUGGGUUUACUGGAGCCAACAGUGAGAGACCACUCUGGGAGAGCUAGAAUUCUAAUGGCGUUCCUUGAAGCAGGACGCUUGACAGUUUCAGGUGGGCAGUUUGACUGGGGCGGUCACCUCCUAAAAGGUAACGGAGGAGUGCAAAGGUUCCCUCAGGCUGGACGGAAAUCAGCCGUAGAGUGUAAAGGCAAAAGGGAGCUUGACUGCAAGACCUACAAGUCGAGCAGGGGCGAAAGCCGGCCUUAGUGAUCCGACGGUUCCGUGUGGAAGGGCCGUCGCUAAACGGAUAAAAGUUACUCUAGGAUAACAGGCUGAUCUUCCCCAAGAGUUCACAUCGACGGGAAGGUUUGGCACCUCGAUGUCGGCUCAUCGCAACCUGGGGCGGUAGUACGUCCCAAGGGUUGGGCUGUUCGCCCAUGAAAGCGGUACGUGAGCUGGGUUCAGAACGUCGUGAGACAGUUCGGUCCAUAUCCGGUGUAGGCGUUGGAGCAUUGAGAGGAGUCUUCCAUAGUACGAGAGGACCUGGAAGAACGCACCUCUGGUAUACCAGUUCUCACGCCAGUGGGAAACGCUGGGUAGCCAAGUGUGGAGUGGAUAACCGCUGAAAGCAUCUAAGUGGGAAGCCCACCUCAAGAUGAGUGCUCCCUAUGAGGUCACGGCAAGACCAGCCGGUUGAUAGGCAGUAGGUGUACGCCUAGUAAUAGGUUUAGCUGAGCUGUACUAAUAGACCCAUUGAUUUUGAAU